UACGUAGGUGGCAAGCGUUGUCCGGAUUUACUGGGCGUAAAGAGCGCGCUAGGCGGUCGUUCAAGUCGAGUGUGAAAAGCCCCCGGCUCAACUGGGGAGGGUCACUCGAUACGUGAUCGACUCGAAGGCAGGAGAGGGUAGUGGAAUUCCCGGUGUAGUGGUGAAAUGCGUAGAUAUCGGGAGGAACACCAGUGGCGAAGGC
rnacentral:rRNA from 1 species